UACGUAGGGGGCUAGCGUUGUCCGGAAUCAUUGGGCGUAAAGCGCGUGUAGGCGGCCCGAUAAGUCCGCUGUGAAAGUCCUGGGCUCAACCCUGGGAUGCCGGUGGAUACUGUCGGGCUCGAGUCCGGAAGAGGCGAGUGGAAUUCCUGGUGUAGCGGUGAAAUGCGCAGAUAUCAGGAGGAACACCAAUGGCGAAGGCAGCUCGCUGGGACGUGACUGACGCUGAGACGCGAAAGCGUGGGGAGCAAACAGG
rnacentral:rRNA from 1 species